rnacentral:ncRNA from 1 species
CUCUAAUAUUGAGUCAGAUUAUAUAAUUUAUGGAUUAUAUACAGUACAAGUAUUAGAUAUUAAAGGAGUUUUAUUCCUUCUUAAGAAUUUCUUAAGUAAAUAAUAAAUUGUGAGCAUAUGUGCUAGUAGGUUGAAAAUCGAAUGUAUGUA